UCUCCGUAGGUGAACCUGCGGAGGGAUCAUUACAGAGUUCAUGCCCUUCUGGGUUGAUCUCCCACCCUGUGUUAUCAUUACUUUGUUGCUUUGGCGGGCCGUUAGGCUUCGGCUUGGCUGCCGGUCCCGGCUGGUAAGCGCCCGCCAGAGGACCCCAAACUCUGAAUGUUAGUGUCGUCUGAGUACUAUAAAAUAGUUAAAACUUUCAACAACGGAUCUCUUGGUUCUG
rnacentral:misc_RNA from 1 species